rnacentral:rRNA from 1 species
CCUACGGGGGGCUGCAGUAGAGAAUCUUCCGCAAUGGACGAAAGUCUGACGGAGCGACACCGCGUGGUGGAUGACGGUCUAUGGAUUGUAAACACCUUUUCUAUGGGAAGAAGAUCUGACGGUACCAUAGGAAUAAGCCCCGGCUAAUUACGUGCCAGCAGCCGCGGUAAUACGUAAGGGGCAAGCGUUAUCCGGAAUUAUUGGGCGUAAAGCGUCCGCAGGUGGUUGUAUAAGUCAGUUAUUAAAUACCGGUGCUCAACAUCGGUGCUGUAGCCGAAACUGUGCGACUAGAGGGUGGGAGAGGUAUGUGGAAUUGUGAAAGUAGGGGUAAAAUCCGUAGAUAUGCAGAGGAACACCAAAAGCGAGGGCAGCAUACUGGACCAUACCUGACACUCAGGGACGAAAGCGUGGGUAGCAAAUCGGAUUAGAUACCCUAGUAGUC